GGAAGGCAUAAUUGUGUGAGGCUGCCUGGGAAGCAGGUGGGAAACACACAGCCUGAAAUCUGCAGACAUCCCCCCAUCCCCAGGCCGGUUUUUAAACCUUUGCAGGAAUCUCCUCAAAGAACCACCUGAGCCACCUGUGAACCAGCCCCCGGUGUGCCCCGGGUUGGGACAGACUGACACCGACAAGUGCAGGACGACACACGGCCCAGGGCCGGCCCACAGCCCCCGCCCGGUGCUCACGUACAGGCCCCGGGGGCACCGCCAACACCAAACCUCCAUUAGAAGGCCCGGCGCGAGUGAGAGAGGAUAAGUCACUUCACCGCUGCCGCCUCACCGUCCUCCCACCGCAUCCCAGCCGCCCGACGGUCCUCGGUGCCCGGCACGAACGGAGGCGCGGGGGAACAGAGAGAUAAGGACAUAUGGCUUCAUUUAUCAAAGUGCAGCCGCGGGUCACACCGCGAUGGAGCUCCCGGCACCGCCGCCCUCACAGCCCCCACAGGGCGGGGCGCGGGGCGGGGCCCGGCUGCCGGCGAUUGGGCUGUCUGGCUGUCGAUCAGGCCCGGUGUGCGUUGGAAGAAAGGCCUUCGGUUGUCUUUGCAGUUGUUUGCUCUGGGUAAUGGAAAAGCAGUCAAUGGGCAGAGGUGCUGUUCGACCUGACUGCAGCUCCUGAAUGGAGUGGGUUGGCCCUACACGCACUGCCGAGGCGCAUUAAAAGGGCAAUGCGAGCAGGAACCUGUGGCCAGCACUGCAUCUCUGCCUGAAAAGCUGAGUUUGUUGAUAAAAAGUCGAAAAUGGGACACUAAAGGCAAGGGGCAGUGUUUUUUAAAGCAGCAAGUUUUCUUAAGCACACAACAGCAAAUGUUGUACUCCAAAGAAGAAUGAGUUAGGCUAUAAAGGCAGGUAUUUUUCUUUUAAAAAUAAACGAUACCACAAAGCUUAUUAGCAAUGGGGCUGAGCACCAGCUCGGUGAGCAAGGCUGGCCCCAAGCAUGCAUGCACGGGCUGUGCAGGCCAACAGGGCCUGGGAGAUGGGCUGGCCUGGCCACUGAGGGCUCUCACCUUUCUCUGUCCCGUUCUGGUGGGCUGGGGAAGAGACUGGAUUCCGGGAUCUGGCAAAAGCGCUCAUGAGAGGAAGAGGCCCUGGCCUGUGGUUCCUGGGCCUGGAAGAGGACGGGGAGAAGUGAUACAGAGCUGAUGGUCCAACAGAAUGAACAAUUUGAGUACUGUCUCUCUGAGCUGCAGCUGGCAAAUGGGGCCCAAUACGGUGUCCCCCUCCAUGAAACCCUUGUGCAAAUGUAAGCUGGGCAGAUACAUGUGAAAUAGAGUGAGUGGGAUAUUGCCAAAACCAAUAAAAGCAUAGCCUUACCAGUCCUCAGGGUCACAGUCUCUGAAUCCCUUGGCAAAAGGGUUGCUUGCAAUCUUCAACUGCGUGAUCUGUAAGAAGAAGUGGGAAAAUGUCUCAAAGCAGCCCACAGGGCUCCCUGGCCAAACAGUGAGUGUGUCCCUGGGCAGGCUUUGGGACUCAGCAGUGCUUGGUGUAACAGAGGGGAUCCAGGUGGCUGGUGGAGCCAGGGUGUUCUCUGCCACAGAGCACAAACAUGUGCUUUCCCUCUGCUAGAAAAUGCGGGCUAACAUGCUACCUAAUAUGAGUUCAAGGUGAAGGGAGAGGCAGUCUGAGUCGGCUGCAAAAUCUGACUAAAUGCAC